rnacentral:tRNA from 2 species
GCGCGAGUGGCGGAAUUGGCAGACGCGCUGGAUUUAGGUUCCAGUGCCCGAGGGCGUGUGGGUUCGAGUCCCAUCUCGCGCACGA